rnacentral:tRNA from 1 species
GGAGGGGUGGCCGAGAGGCUGAAGGCGGCGGUUUGCUAAACCGUUAUACGCUUAACGGCGUAUCGUGGGUUCGAAUCCCAUCCCCUCCGCCA